rnacentral:lncRNA from 1 species
CGGCCGUAGAGUGCACGAGCGGCGACCGGCGGCGUGCGGGGACGACGGGGAGGCACGCCGGAGGUCGCCGGAGGUUCCAGGAUGGCGGCGCGGCCAGCGGGGAGCGGUGGCGGCGCGCAGAUGCAAAGAUCACCCAGACUCGGCCUGGGUGAUAGCAGGUGACCGCAGGGAGCUGGGGCGGCUCCGGCGGCGUGCGCAGACGGUGGGGCCGGCGACGGAGGUCGCUGGGGCUCCGGGGAAGGGCG